UAGUCCACGCCGUAAACGAUGGUCACUAGUUGUGUGGAUUUCGGUCUGCGUGGCUAAGCGAAAGUGAUAAGUGACCCACCUGGGGAGUACGUUCGCAAGAAUGAAACUCAAAGGAAUUGACGGGGGCCCGCACAAGCGGUGGAGCAUGUGGUUUAAUUCGAUGAUACGCGAGGAACCUUACCAGGGCUUAAAUGUAGAUUGCAUUAGCUAGAGAUAGCUAUUUCUUCGGACCAUCUACAAGGUGCUGCAUGGUUGUCGUCAGCUCGUGCCGUGAGGUGUCAGGUUAAGUCCUAUAACGAGCGCAACCCCUGUUGUUAGUUGCCAGCGAGUAAUGUCGGGAACUCUAGCAAGACUGCCGGUGCAAACCGUGAGGAAGGUGGGGAUGACGUCAAAUCAUCACGGGCCCUUAGUCCUGGGGCUACACACGUGCUACAAUGGUAAGUACAAUGAGCAGCCACUACGCGAGUAGGAGCGAAUCUAUAAAAACUU
rnacentral:rRNA from 1 species